AGUGAACGCUGGCGGUAGGCCUAACACAUGCAAGUCGAACGGCAGCACAGUAAGAGCUUGCUCUUACGGGUGGCGAGUGGCGGACGGGUGAGGAAUACAUCGGAAUCUACUUUUUCGUGGGGGAUAACGUAGGGAAACUUACGCUCAUACCGCAUACGACCUACGGGUGAAAGCAGGGGAUCUUCGGACCUUGCGCGAUUGAAUGAGCCGAUGUCGGAUUAGCUAGUUGGCGGGGUAAAUGCCCACCAAGGCGACGAUCCGUAGCUGGUCUGAGAGGAUGAUCAGCCACACUGGAACUGAGACACGGUCCAGACUCCUACGGGAGGCAGCAGUGGGGAAUAUUGGACAAUGGGCGCAAGCCUGAUCCAGCCAUACCGCGUGGGUGAAGAAGGCCUUCGGGUUGUAAAGCCCUUUUGUUGGGAAAGAAAAGCAGCAGGUUAAUACCCCGCUGUUCUGACGGUACCCAAAGAAUAAGCACCGGCUAACUUCGUG
rnacentral:rRNA from 1 species